rnacentral:rRNA from 1 species
AUCUACUUUUUCGUGGGGGAUAACGUACGGAAACUUACGCUAAUACCGCAUACGACCUACGGGUGAAAGCAGGGGAUCUUCGGACCUUGCGCGAUUGAAUGAGCCGAUGUCGGAUUAGCUAGUUGGCGGGGUAAAGGCCCACCAAGGCGACGAUCCGUAGCUGGUCUGAGAGGAUGAUCAGCCACACUGGAACUGAGACACGGUCCAGACUCCUACGGGAGGCAGCAGUGGGGAAUAUUGGACAAUGGGCGCAAGCCUGAUCCAGCCAUACCGCGUGGGUGAAGAAGGCCUUCGGGUUGUAAAGCCCUUUUGUUGGGAAAGAAAUCCAGCUGGCUAAUACCCGGUUGGGAUGACGGUACCCAAAGAAUAAGCACCGGCUAACUUCGUGCCAGCAGCCGCGGUAAUACGAAGGGUGCAAGCGUUACUCGGAAUUACUGGGCGUAAAGCGUGCGUAGGUGGUCGUUUAAGUCCGUUGUGAAAGCCCUGGGCUCAACCUGGGAACUGCAGUGGAUACUGGGCGACUAGAGUGUGGUAGAGGGUAGCGGAAUUCCUGGUGUAGCAGUGAAAUGCGUAGAGAUCAGGAGGAACAUCCAUGGCGAAGGCAGCUACCUGGACCAACACUGACACUGA